UGAGUAACCUGCCCUUAACUCUGGGAUAAGCCUGGGAAACUGGGUCUAAUACCGGAUAUGACCUUGGGAUGCAUGUCCUUUGGUGGAAAGCUUUUGCGGUGUGGGAUGGGCCCGCGGCCUAUCAGCUUGUUGGUGGGGUUAAGGCCUACCAAGGCGACGACGGGUAGCCGGCCUGAGAGGGUGACCGGCCACACUGGGACUGAGAUACGGCCCAGACUCCUACGGGAGGCAG
rnacentral:rRNA from 1 species